rnacentral:misc_RNA from 1 species
GAUGAAGAACGUAGCGAAAUGCGAUAAGUAAUGUGAAUUGCAGAAUUCAGUGAAUCAUCGAAUCUUUGAACGCACAUUGCGCCCCUUGGUAUUCCGAGGGGCAUGCCUGUUCGAGCGUCAUUAUAACCCCUCAAGCUCAGCUUGGUGUUGGGGCCUGCCGCACGGGCAGCCCUUAAAAUCAGUGGCGGUGCCAUCUGGCUCUAAGCGUAGUAAUUCUUCUCGCUAUAGAGUCCCGGUGGAUGCUUGCCAUUAACCCCCAAUUUUCUAUGGUUGACCUCGGAUCAGGUAGGGAUACCCGCUCAACUUAAGCAUAUCAAUAAGCGGAGGA